CGCGAAUUUGGUUUUGUUCGGAUGUUCCGCCUGCAAUAAAAGAAAUCGGGGUUGAUCAUUCUAUCGCUUACCCAAAAACAACAUAGAGUGGAGAGAGAAUCAUUACGUAUCAUACAGUCUACCAGAUCAGACCCGAUAAAUGACAAGACCUUGACAAUAUGUUCAAGACACGUUGAGCCGGAUUAUUUCGUUGAAAAAAUGUUUACAAAAAUUCUGGGUCCACAUAUCGAAGAUUAAAAGAAGGGUUAGGGAGACUAUCAACCUUAAUUCUUCUACAGAAAAGCGUAACAACAAAGAAAUUGAAUCCAAGGAAGUCACCGAGUCCAAGGAAAACCGAGGAAACUCAAUGUUUACAUAUGAACGAAGUAACCUUUCAGAUGUUGCAGAAAUCAUUUUUAUGUCAAAUGUCUGCUUUGUGGCUAUGUCAGUCUUCAAGUGAUUAUAUCUAUCUGUUUAAAACUGAAGAUAAAAGUGUAACAUACCAUUUAACCAUUGACAAGGACUUGAAUUGUGAAGUACAAUAUAAUAAUUUUUGUUUCCUGUUCAAAUUAAAGUUACAUCUAUAGAUUUACUUAUAAGAACUGUUGAGAAUAUGAAGAUAUGUGGGGGCAUAACAUCAAAACAUUUACAGUCUUAUUCUCAAUGUCAGCCUACAACUGUAAGAUAUAUCAGACAGGUUGAUAUUUUCAUGAACACAAAUAAGUCAACAUAGAAAUUACGAAAGCUGUGUACUUGCUUCUGUAUGUAAUAGUUUUGUUGAGGACACUCAAAAAGAAAUUUGUUUAAGUUGUCGACAGAUUAACAGAGAUUUACAGAGAAAGUAAAUAGUAAUAAUAAUAGUUUAUUUCACAUAUAUGGCUACAUAGCACAUUGCAUAUUCAGAUUUUGAUUGACAAUAUAUAAUUCAAAGAAUCAAUAUUUACAUACUUGUAAAUGUAAUUUACAAUUCAAAAAUAGCUUAGCAAUAAUAUAUAGUUGCCAUAUAAACGAGCAAACAGUGAUAGAAUAUAAUCAUGUGGUAUGAAUUUGAUUAAAAUGUAGAUUUCACUCCAUUUUGAUUUAUUUCUUCCAACUGACUCGACUCCACAUAGAUUUGAGGUCAAAUGAGAAGUUAUAGAGUUAAACUGUGAUCAGUGAUGUCAGGUAUUUUAUUUACAGCACUUUGCUGCAAGCAUUUCACACAAUGAAAGUAACAAAAACACAGAUUAUACAGAUAAUUUCAUACAACAAAAUAGAAAGUGUAUAAUUAAACUAAACAUUUCCUGGCUCUAUUGGAAUUAAUAUCAAUAUUGGAAGUAUAAAAAUAUAAAUGUGAUUGAAUCUAGGAUUAAAUCUAGAACUUAAUCAGCAGUGUUCUACAGAUUUUUUAUUUCUUGUUAUUACUGUAUUGUAGUUAAUAAGUAAUGAAAAGAAAACAAGGCCCCAAGUUCACAAAGCAUUCUCAGUCUUAAGUUAAGGUUUUACUCAAAAUUGUUUGUCUUAUUUUAACUCAAAUAUAGCACUUUACUAACUAUUGUUGUUUUAAUGUAAAUAUAUCAAUAAGAAACUGUGCAAAGUUUUGUGUUUCUGGAUCAAAGAUAUUUCUCAAAAACAGUGAUUGAAGGUUGAGCAAAUUCUUAAGUCUGGGAAUGCUUUGUGAACUUGGGGCCAGGUUGAUAAUAGUAAACAAAAUAUAUCGAGACGCAAUGAAAUAGCACCUCUGAGAUGACGUGGCAUAACUUUGCACCUUCCACAAAACCUAGCUUUUUAAAAGCUGCAUUAUAUACCCCACGUGUGUACCAGAAAAAUCAACAUACUGAUUCUGUUGGGUUUAAUUUUUUUGAUUGAGAAUUGUUCGGGGUGCGUUUACGCAAUCUUCAAAACAUUCUCACAUGUUAUCAUCGUAAUAUGAUGUUGUUACAUCCUUAAUUGCAAGAUUAAAGCAAAUCUUUAAAACAAAAUUGAGCUGAAAAGUACUAAGUAGGGCGUUAAACCUGGAUUCAUUUCAAACAAGAUUUACAUUCAUCCAUUUAUAAAAGUGAUGUAUUAUUUUUAUUGCAUCUCAGUAUAAAAUAUUAACAAUGAUAACAAAAUUUAUAUAAAUUUUAUACAGGUGCACAACUUGUAAUGUGUGAGCUUUAUAAAUGUAUUAAAUUAUUCUUAAAUAUACAUUAUGUAAGAUUUUGAUAAAGAGCUAGCCAUUCUUGCUAUAAUAGUUCGAAGAUAAAAAAUGUAAAAUGA